rnacentral:rRNA from 1 species
AUUGAACGCUGGCGGCAGGCCUAACACAUGCAAGUCGAGCGGAUGAAGGGAGCUUGCUCCUGGAUUCCGCGGCGGACGGGUGAGUAAUGCCUAGGAAUCAGCCUGGUUGUGGGGGAUAACGUCCGGAAACGGGCGCUAAUACCGCAUACGUCCUGAGGGAGAAAGAGGGGGAUCUUCGGACCUCACGCUCUCAGAUGAGCCUAGGUCGGGUUGGCUAGCUGGUGGGGUAAAUGCCUACUUAGGCGAGUAUCCGUAACUGGUCUGCGAGGCUGAUCAGUCACACUGGAACUGAGACAGGGACCAUGCGCCUACGGGAGGCAGCAGUGGGGAAUAUGGGACAAUGGGCGAGAGUAUGAUCCAGCCAUGCCGCGUGUGUGAAGAAAGUCUUCGGAUUGGAAAGCACGUUAAGUUGGGAGGAAGGGCAGUAAGUUAAUACCUUGCUGUAUUGACGGUACCAACAGAAUAAGCACCGGCUAACUUCGUG